GCUGGGUGUGGUGGCUCAUGCCUGUAAUCCCAGCUUCUUGGGAGGCUGAGGCAGAAGAAUUGCUUGAACCCAGGAGAUGGAGGUGGCAGUGAGCUGAGAUUGUGCCACUGCACUCCAGCCUGGGUGACAACAGCGAGAUUCUGUUUCAA
rnacentral:SRP_RNA from 1 species